rnacentral:tRNA from 1 species
CCUUCGAUAGCUCAGUUGGUAGAGCGGAGGACUGUAGGUACUUACACUGGUCAUCCUCAGGUCGCUGGUUCGAAUUCGGCUUGAAGGA